rnacentral:rRNA from 1 species
ACAGAACGCUGGCGGAAUGCUUUACACAUGCAAGUCGAACGGCAGCACGGACUUCGGUCUGGUGGCGAGUGGCGAACGGGUGAGUAAUACAUCGGAACGUGCCCAGUCGUGGGGGAUAACGUAGCGAAAGCUACGCUAAUACCGCAUACGAUCUAAGGAUGAAAGCGGGGAAUCGCAAGACCUCGCGCGAUUGGAGCGGCCGAUGGCAGAUUAGGUAGUUGGUGGGGUAAAGGCUCACCAAGCCGACGAUCUGUAGCUGGUCUGAGAGGACGACCAGCCACACUGGGACUGAGACACGGCCCAGACUCCUACGGGAGGCAGCAGUGGGGAAUUUUGGACAAUGGGCGCAAGCCUGAUCCAGCCAUUCCGCGUGCAGGAUGAAGGCCCUCGGGUUGUAAACUGCUUUUGUACGGAACGAAAAGGCUCUGGUUAAUACCCGGGGCUCAUGACGGUACCGUAAGAAUAAGCACCGGCUAACUACGUGCCAGCAGCCGCCGUAA